UACGUAGGGUGCGAGCGUUAAUCGGAAUUACUGGGCGUAAAGCGUGCGCAGGCGGCGCGUUAAGACAGGUGUGAAAGCCCCGAGCUUAACUUGGGAAUUGCGCUUGUGACUGGCGUGCUGGAGUAUGGCAGAGGGAGGUGGAAUUCCACGUGUAGCAGUGAAAUGCGUAGAGAUGUGGAGGAACACCGAUGGCGAAGGCAGCCUCCUGGGCCAGCACUGACGCUCAUGCACGAAAGCGUGGGGAGCAAACAGG
rnacentral:rRNA from 1 species